AGUCUCAGCAACCGAAAUCGCAGUCCAAGUAACCUCGUGUGGACUAGGCUUUAAUGCGUCAAGUGUUUAUGCCAGUCAUCAUCGGAUCGGAAAACAACAAACAGCUGUCCGCGUUCGUAUUAUUUAUUUAACCACCGCGCACCGCCUAGAUUACACAUUAUAAAAAGCAGCCGUGACGGUACGGGAUUGUGUCCGAGGAGUCUUCCGUCUAUCGACCCGCUUCGUAUGAGACCGAUGCCAAUGUUACUGCGAAAUGACCGGUAAUUGUAGCCACAAAAACAACUCUACCCCCAAGCGUUAUUGUAGCAGAGAUUAUUAUGUUCCCAGGAAGCGCAGGAACGCAUUGGUUAGCCGCGAAUAUCCAGCUUUGAUUAGCUUAUUUCGGCGAAAUCAUUUCACGUUCCGAAACAUUCCCGACAAUCUCCGCUCGGCAGCCAAAGCGGCCUUAACCACCACCGCUUCAGUUCUGAUUCCAAGGAAAAUACAGCAAUAGUUCUGAGAAGCUUCGUACUCGAGUUAGAAUCGAGGGCAAUGCCUUUCGCGAUAUCCAACUUCCGGAUCCGAGGGUUCUACCAGUGAUAAAAGUUCCCUGCCAAGAUUCACGGCCACCCCUACUGACGUGUGAAAGAUUCCUUAAAAUGGACAAAGGAGUGUCGAUCUGAGCAAUAUGCAAAAUGCGUAGCACCAACAACAUCUCCGGUGUGGAUUUGAAGAUAAUGAAGAGGAAAAAAAAAGCAGCCCACUGCCCCGUCCCCCUUCUUGUGCGAUCCAUAUAAUCACCAGCUCGGUCUGAUCAUUUUCUCGAAGAACUCAUGACUAUACCGGGCAAAGUGGUUUGUCCUCGUAGAAUGACGUUCGCGUCCGAAUACUGUAAGAGCCGUCGGUAUUUUCGGGAUUUGGAAUUAGAGGAUCCCCUCAAACGGGCGGAGUGGUACUACAAAUGUUAAAGCAGAAAUAGGAGCGCUAUUACGAGGCGUAGCAAAAAGCUCCCAUAUCCCAACGACAAAAUAUGAUGCUCACCAAUCUAGCUGAAGAACAGAAACAGAUAGAAAAUUAAUAGUUCAUUCCUUCAAAGCUGAAGCAAAGUAGUAAUUUAGUUUAGACUUCAUUGCUUUGAACAAUUCUCGCAAGAUUAAGAGCAAGUGUUAGCUGAAAUUUAAAAGCCGAUUAUACGAGCUUUGAUUUUAAACGAUACGAGUCUAAAGCCUAGUCCACACUAGGCAACAUGAAUUGCGAUUUUUGUUAUGAGACGAACUUUGUUGUCUGUUGUUGUUGUUGGAAACCUGAGACGGUCUCAGUGUCUCCCGAAGAAAAUGGGAGACGCUGAGACCGUCUCGAGACGAACCGUCUCCUAGUGUGGACUAGGCUUAAGUAUACAAUAAUAAAUGUACUGUUGAUUUGUUUUUGUUUGCAUUCUGUUCUGCACUGCAUCAGCUACGUUUAUUUUGUUUUAAAAAAAACGGUUUUGUGGUCUCGGUCCGUUACCGCGGUUUUCGCAUACAAAUAAUCCGAUGUAGUAUCCCAGAUGGUUAAUUUAGAACUGCCUCGGUUAAUCCGGAUACCAUUCAAACGGAGUAUUCUUAAUUAAAUUUGACAUUCCAACAGACAACCGACCCAGGGUUGCAAAUUCAUGUAGGAAAAACCUAAUAAAUUUGGUUUGGUCUCCGGUCGUGGAUUGUAGCUUGUCGUACUGGAUGUUUCUCAGCUAAGGAGCAUUAAGCGACGUGCAUUAACUUCCUGUUGAGUCGACCUCAGGCUAGGCUCAAUAGAAUUCACCUUACAAAGUUGGGAGCCAUUUUCAUGCUGUCGUACUGGACGAUCUAUUCGAGGUUCCAAUGGGGGUUUCUAGGGUUGCAGCUGACAAAGAUUUUGUCGAAACGAAGGGAAAGAUGACGGAGGAAAUUGCAAUUGCUAGAAAAGAAACUAAAACCCGAUCCACUUUUCUAGAAAACAUACU